AGUGAACGCUGGCGGUAGGCCUAACACAUGCAAGUCGAACGGCAGCACAGUAAGAGCUUGCUCUUACGGGUGGCGAGUGGCGGACGGGUGAGGAAUACAUCGGAAUCUACUUUUUCGUGGGGUAUAACGUAGGGAAACUUACGCUAAUACCGCAUACGACCUACGGGUGAAAGCAGGGGAUCUUCGGACCUUGCGCGAUUGAAUGAGCCGAUGUCGGAUUAGCUAGUUGGCGGGGUAAAGGCCCACCAAGGCGACGAUCCGUAGCUGGUCUGAGAGGAUGAUCAGCCACACUGGAACUGAGACACGGUCCAGACUCCUACGGGAGGCAGCAGGGGGGAAUCUUGGACAAUGGGCGGAAGCCUGAUCCAGCCAUACCGCGUGGGUGAAGAAGGCCUUCGGGUUGUAAAGCCCUUUUGUUGGGAAAGAAAAGCAGCAGGUUAAUACCCCGCUGUUCUGACGGUACCCAAAGAAUAAGCACCGGCUAACUUCGUG
rnacentral:rRNA from 1 species